UACAGAGGUCUCAAGCGCUGUUCGGAUUCAUUGGGCGUAAAGGGUGCGUAGGCGGCGCGGUGAGUCGGAUGUGAAAUCUCGGAGCUUAACUCCAAAACUGCAUUCGAUACUGCCGUGCUUGAGGACUGGAGAGGAGACUGGAAUUUACGGUGUAGCGGUGAAAUGCGUAGAUAUCGUAAGGAAGACCAGUGGCGAAGGCGGGUCUCUGGACAGUUCCUGACGCUGAGGCACGAAGGCUAGGGUAGCGAACGGG
rnacentral:rRNA from 1 species